AUCCCACUCACCUGGCCAUUACCUGAAUUCAUCCUUUCUCUACCCCAAUUCCAUUAGCCAAGCUAUCACCCACAUUCAUCUCUUCCCUGGAAGAAUUCAUUAGAAAUAACUCCCAUCCAUCUGUCCCCUUCCCAUUCUGUUAGCAAUUAAUACUGUCUGGGGGCGUGGCCUGGACAAGCAUGGUGCAGGACGCACGGUAAAGGAGCUCCGCACCCCAGACCGAGAAAUCGAGCAAUAUACAGCCCAUACUCAGAGGGAAAUGGUCCGGAACAAGAAACUGUCAGUACCGGGGACGCAGCCAACAAACUCCCCGCGGCGGAAUACGGGCCUGAUGGAUGAUUUCAUUGCAACGCCUGUGGAGCUGAGAGGCUCUCUCCCUGCCG